rnacentral:rRNA from 1 species
UUCCGGUUGAUCCCGCCGGAAGCCACUGCUAUCGGGCUCCGACUAAGCCAUGCGAGUUUUGGGGCUCUUCGGAGCACCGGCGGACGGCUCAGUAACACGUGGACAACCUACCCUCGGGUGGGGGAUAACCUCGGGAAACUGAGGCUAAUACCCCAUAGGUCUCAGAUACUGGAAUGUUCUGAGGCUGAAAACUCCGGCGCCCGAGGAUGGGUCUGCGGCCUAUCAGGUAGUUGGUGGUGUAAAGGACCACCAAGCCUACGACGGGUACGGGCCCUGAGAGGGGGAGCCCGGAGAUGGAAUCUGAGACACGAUUCCAGGCCCUACGGGGCGCAGCAGGCGCGAAACCUUCGCAAUGCGCGAAAGCGCGACGAGGGGAGCCCGAGUGCCCUUCCUUCGGGGAGGGCUUUUCUGGAGCCUAAAAAGCUCCAGGAAUAAGGGCUGGGCAAGACGGGUGCCAGCCGCCGCGGUAAUACCCGCAGCUCAAGUGGUGGCCGCUAUUAUUGAGCCUAAAGCGUCCGUAGCCGGACCCGUAAAUCCCUGGGUAAAUCCUGGCGCUCAACGUCAGGAAUUCCGGGGAGACUGCGGGUCUUGGGACCGGGAGAGGCCGGAGGUACU